rnacentral:misc_RNA from 1 species
AUUAACAAUGGCUUUUCCUUGUGUCAAAUGUUCAUUUAGUCGUAAAUCUGUUGGUAAUUUGCUAUCUCACUACCAUCGAAUCCAUUAUGGACAAAAAAUACCGUGUCAUUUUUGUUCUGCUGAAUUUGUAAACUAUAUUGUUGCAAAAAAUCAUGUUUAUAGAAGACAUCAAGACAAGCGGCAACAUAAUAUUACACAGAUUCAAAUUGAAUCAGCUAUUCCAUUAGAUUUGCCAGUUUGUAUUAAUACCAAAUAUGAUGAAAAUGCAGACCAAUCAACUGAUAUAUUUGAUAUGUUUGAUGAAAUGAAAAAGUUUUUUAUGAUAACAAUGAAUUAUCAUUUGGUGUCUGAAAAUACUUCAAAAAAGUUACUUCUACUACACGGUGAUUCAGUUAAAGCUAUAUUGGGUGAUAUAUGUAGAUCAUUUGAAAGUUUUUUGCAACAGACUGGCAUAUCAAUUCACAACCCUUACGCACAAUGUUUCUUGUAUAAACUUCAAAGAGACAAUAGCAUUGAUAUGUGUUUGUCACAUUGUAUGAGUCCAGAUAAAUUUGAUAAUUAUUUAGGUGAAUUGGGUCAUGUAAAAGCAGUGAAAGUUACUGUUGGUGAUGAUUUUUUUUAUCAUGUGCCUCUAGAAGAAAAUCUUAAAAGUAUUCUUAAAGGUCAAACAAUUUUGCACCCAGAGUCUUUAUCUUUUUCAAAAUCAAACUACUUUCAAAAUUCAAUUCUACCAUUUUCAGAUCCAGACAAAACAGUAUAUAUUGGUUUGUAUUCAGAUGAGUUAGAGGUAUGUAACCCAAUAGGCACCAGUAGGGGUAGACAUAAAAUAUCAGCAAUUUAUUUUUCUAUUUUAAACCAAAAGAGUAAUGCAUCUAAAAUGGACAAUUAUCAUUUAGCUUCAUUAUGUAAUUUUAAAGUGGUUAAAAAAAUUACACUCAAUGAGUUUUGUAAGCCAAUUAUUGAUGACUUGUUCAACUUAUUAUUUAACACAUUUUGUGUAAAUGUUAAAGAGUACCAUGUUAUUGCGUGUUUUAUGUCUGCUGACAAUUUAACAGCUCAUCCACUUCUUGGUUUACAAUCACAUUUUCAUAGUGGAUACAUAUGUAGACACUGUUAUUUCUUUGUUAGACAGGAAAAUACAAAUGUAUUUCAAAGAACUCAUGAAUCUUACAUUGUUGAUAGUACAAAACAACAACAUGGUUGUCUGAAUUUAUCUCCGUUUUUACACUUACCAUAUGUGUUUUUGCCUGCAUUUUUCCCAAGUGAUUUCAUGCAUGAUUUUUUGGAAGGAAUAAGCCAUGUUGUAAUUUCAACAUUUUUGAAUCAUUAUAUGAUCAAGCGAAAAUUAACAUUACUUGGUAUGAAUUUAUUGCUAAGAGAUGUAAAAUUGCCAGUGAAUUUAAUAUUGACAUCAACUUAUAUGACAUCAAAGCUGGCACUUACGGCUAGUGAGAUGCUAACCCUUUCAUUGUGUUUGCCAUUGUUUCUUUUUGAUAGCUUCAAUGAUAAAGAUGCACCUUAUUGGGAUAUGAUCGUUAUUCAUUGUGAAAUUUUAUUGAUUUUAAAUAGCCGUUGUAAUGAACAUAUUGAAUCAUUACAUUUUCUUGUUCCACAACUUGUUAACUAUAUUAAAACAUUAUAUAAUGGCACAAGAGUAGCAGCAAAGCUCCAUUUUAUCACACAUUAUCCUGACCUUUCAAGCUACAUGGGAACAAUGAAAACUUUUUGGUGCAUGCGUUUUGAACGACAUCAGAUUUUUAAAAAGCUUGCAAGAGUUAGUCAGCAAUUUAAGAACCCUAUAUAUUCAUUUUCAAAAUGAUUUCAAAUGCAUAAAACUUGUAAACGGCUCUUUGAAAGGAGUAAUGACAUUGUUCCAGGAUCAAUCUCAUAUGCAAAAAUAUCUCUUCAUCAUGCUCAAGAAGCACUUCUUGAACGGUUUAAACCAAAUUUGAACACUAUUUUUCAUACAAAAAAAUUAACAGUCCAGGGAAAACAGUUGAUAGUAUCUUCUUAUUUGAUUCUAAGCGAAGAAAAAGCUGUUAAAAUAAAUCAUUUGAUGUCUAUUAACAGUGUUUGGUAUGCGAUGUGUCAAGAAACAGCAAUAUCAUUUUUUCCUUUAGUUAACUCGUAUGUUGUAGAGCAUCAUAAAAACUCAUUUUCUUUACUUGACAUUUUGUCUCUUAAAUUAAGUUCAUCUAAAUCUGUGAUAAUAAAAGAUAAAGAGUAUAUUGUCAGACUAUUUAUUAUAUGAAUAUUUCA